GCCUUUUUUGUCACUUACGAAUAUACAAAAGCUGUCCUCCACACAGAUGCAUCUCCAUAUUUAGCUCCAAUUAUUCACAUGUUGGCUGCCUCCUUUGGAGAAGUAGUUGCUUGUCUAAUACGAGUUCCUGCUGAAGUUGUGAAACAAAGAGCACAGGUGUCUCCGACUUCCAGCACCUUACAGAUCCUUUCUAAAACCAUCUAUGAUGAGGGUAUCCUAGGACUCUACCGAGGUUAUAAAAGCACAGUAUUAAGAGAGG